CGAUGGAGGGGGAUAACUACUGGAAACGGUAGCUAAUACCGCAUAACGUCGCAAGACCAAAGAGGGGGACCUUGGGCCUCUUGCCAUCGGAUGUGCCCAGAUGGGAUUAGCUAGUAGGUGGGGUAACGGCUCACCUAGGCGACGAUCCCUAGCUGGUCUGAGAGGAUGACCAGCCACACUGGAACUGAGACACGGUCCAG
rnacentral:rRNA from 1 species